CCUCAGACUUCAGCCUCCAGAACUGUGAGAAGUAAAUGUCUAUUGUUUGUAAGCCACCCACUGUGUGGCAUCUUGUUAUAGCAGCUUGAAUGGACUAAGGCGUGGCCCUCAUAAAGAGUAGUCACUGGAAUGGGUCAGGAUGGGCAGGAUGGGAGAUGGGGGCAGGCAAGGGGGCGCAGGAGGGGUGAGUUGAGAGAACAGUGUCCCUGGUAUGGAGGGAGGAGCUCGCUGGGUUGGGAGGAACAGGACCGGGUGGCCUGGGCCCUUCCUUCACAGGCACGGAUGGUGUGCAGUGUCUGGUGGGCUUUUUGGUGAUAAGGACCCCACUCCAGUCCUUUAGAAUUUAUGUUCCAAGGUGACCUAGGAUCACACAUUUGCUGAUCAUCAUACUCAGGUCCUCACUCGACACCAACCUAUUCUUUAUUUUAUCUAACAUUUGCUUUUUAAAAAGGUUUUAAUUGUGGUGAAAUAUACAUAACACAAGAUUUACCAUCUCAACCGUUGUUAAGUGUACAGUUCCGUGGCACUGAGUACAUUCACGUUGUUGUGCAACCAUCAGCACCGUCCGUCUCCAGAACUUUUUCAUUUUUCUCAAAUGAAACUCUGUCCCCAUUAAACACUAACUCCCAUUUCCCCUCCCCCAGCCCCUGUCGACUUUCUACUUUCUGACUCUAUGAAUUGAUGACUCUAGGUACCUCACGUUAGGGAAUUGCGCAGUGAUCAUCUUGCUGUGACAUCACUCAGCAUAAUGUCCUCAAGGCUCACCCAUAAUUUUUACUUUUCGUUCCACUAUUCUUACCCAGCGCCUCCCUCCCUUCAUUCUUCCCUCUUGAAGGGUACAGUGAGGGGGGAGCAAAUACUCUAUUUCAUUGCAGGGGCAGGGGACAACCCCCAGAAGUGAUUCGCUCAUUCAGAUCCUUCUAAUCAGAUGUUUGUAAUUUCUUUUCGUCUUGGUUUCUCUCUCCAACGUGGGAAUCAAAUUCCUCAUGGAGUAAAAUAAGCUGUUUCUCAUGGUCCACUCUAGAGGAAAAUGAUGGCUCCUAAUGUGUGCCUCACUCCGUCCCCGUUGUCCUCGCCUGGUCUUUUCUUCUCUGGGUGAGGACCUGGAGACUGUCUGCGACGCUGGAGAAGGCUCAGUGGUCGCGGAUGUCUGAAUGGCACUCUGCCCUUUGCUUGUCUUUCAUGGAGCUCGUAUUACAGUGCCUGGCUCAUGGGAUGUGGACACACCAGAUGGCCUCCUGAGAGCAGCUGACACCGUCUCUGGCCAUUUGACUGACCCCAGGCAGGAACAUCUGGGCUUCACCUUUUCUCUCCAGCGGGUGGAGAGAGACAGAGCAGCCCCAGAGGCAGGAGAGAAGGUGAGCCCCUGGGAUGCGUCCUUGCAGGGGCUCUCAUCAUGCCUGUGAAUUUCAGAAAACUGUAGCAUCUUCUCCAGCGAAAA